UACGUAGGGUGCAGGCGUUAAUCGGAAUUACUGGGCGUAAAGCGUGCGCAGGCGGCUCCUUAAGUCAGAUGUGAAAGCCCCGGGCUUAACCUGGGAACUGCAUUUGUGACUGCAUAGCUAGAGUACGGUAGAGGGGGAUGGAAUUCCGCGUGUAGCAGUGAAAUGCGUAGAUAUGCGGAGGAACACCGAUGGCGAAGGCAAUCCCCUGGACCUGUACUGACGCUCAUGCACGAAAGCGUGGGGAGCAAACAGG
rnacentral:rRNA from 1 species